GGCAGAGAGUGUGCCCAGCUGACUGGCCACCCACUCAUCAACUCUGUCUUUCCGUUAAUUGGGAUUUCUCAAACACACAUCAAGUAUUGAUCAAUCAAGAAAAUGAAUUUAUGCUCAUAUUUGUCAUGUGCCAUUUUCCUCAAGAUACAAAUUUGCAUCAGACUGCAGUAAUUUGGUUGAGAUAAUUUAGUUUGCUGCAGCGUGUCCAUUUCUAUUAUGGUGCUUGCACUCAUGAAAAGUCUGCAAAGUAGGCGCUUUUCAAAUCCUUGUCAAAAGUGAGCACCCAAAGAAUUGAUUAACUCUAAUUUGAUUGUUGAAUUUGCAUGGCAUUGUCAAAUAUUUAUCAUAACUGACUACAUUAAACACUGAGUGGUUUGUAAGCAUUGAUUAUUCUUUCCUCCGUGUCUACCUCUCUGAUAGCAUGCUUUGAACUGUAGUCUUGAUUUGAAAUGCACUUUUUUCCUUACAUGUUACAGCUCCUGCUGUUGUAACUUCCUUGUACUGUGUUCACUGAGUGCAAAACGUGUUUGCCUAUUGUAUAAAGGAUAAUGCCAUUGUUAUUGUUGCUUAGUGGCCCCAAGCAUAAAGACUGGCUGAGUUCUAUAGCAGAGACGGCCUGUUUCCUCAUGGGUUAGUCGGUGUUUCGCUGUUUAAUACUCCUAUUUUUAUAAAGAGGUAGGACAAAGGGUGGCAUUAGGUGGGAAUGUCCUGGUUCAAUCUGCAAGAUCUGUAUCAGGGGUGAUCUAGGCCUUUUUUUCUUCUUUUUUUUUUAAA